rnacentral:lncRNA from 1 species
AUACAUUAUAAUUACAUACAAUAUUCAAAUAGAUUUAGUUAUGUACCGGAGGAGCAAAUCUCUGCAAAAAGGAUGAAAUAUGGUCAAGCUGAUCUUGCAAAGAUUGUAUCUUCAACUCUUGGCUCUGCUUCAACUCCUCCAUAUCGGUCCUAUGACUCUGACUCAUCUCCUUUAUCCUUGUCUCAUAUGACUGUUUUAUCUGUGCCAUCUCUGCCUUCAGACUACAAACCUCUGCAGUGCUACUACCUUGUCUAGCAUCUUGGGUAUAUCGGCUCACUGCAGACAACUGAGUGGGGGUAACUCCAACACCAUAACCCCUCACUCGACCAUAACGUUCUGGGCCCAUUAAUUUGGUAUAGACCUGAGCCUCGAUGCGACUGGCCGCAUCGGAUGAUGAUGACUCCCCGACACGCUCUGAAAUAAGAGUUGUAGCUCUUUCCUAUAUAUCUCUACAAAAAAAUGUCACAUUAAU